CCCUUAGAUGUUCUGGGCCGCACGCGCGCUACACUGUUCGACGCAGCGAGUCUUAACCUUGACCGAAAGGUUUGGGUAAUCUUCAGCAAAGUCGAACGUGAUGGGGAUCGAUCAUUGCAAUUAUUGAUCGUGAACGAGGAAUUCCUAGUAAGUGCAAGUCAUCAGCUUGCGCUGAUUACGUCCCUGCCCUUUGUACACACCGCCCGUCGCUCCUACCGAUUGAAUGUUCCGGUGAACACUUUGGAAUAGUUCUUAUGUGAGGGGAAACUCUUUGCUUGGAUACUGUGAAGUUGUGUAAACCUUAACAUUUAGAGGAAGGAGAAGUCGUAACA
rnacentral:rRNA from 1 species